AUUGAACGCUGGCGGCAGGCCUAACACAUGCAAGUCGAGCGGAUGAAGGGAGCUUGCUCCUGGAUUCAGCGGCGGACGGGUGAGUAAUGCCUAGGAAUCUGCCUGGUAGUGGGGGAUAACGUCCGGAAACGGGCGCUAAUACCGCAUACGUCCUGAGGGAGAAAGUGGGGGAUCUUCGGACCUCACGCUAUCAGAUGAGCCUAGGUCGGAUUAGCUAGUUGGUGGGGUAAAGGCCUACCAAGGCGACGAUCCGUAACUGGUCUGAGAGGAUGAUCAGUCGCACUGGAACUGAGACACGGUCCAGACUCCUACGGGAGGCAGCAGUGGGGAAUAUUGGACAAUGGGCGAAAGCCUGAUCCAGCCAUGCCGCGUGUGUGAAGAAGGUCUUCGGAUUGUAAAGCACUUUAAGUUGGGAGGAAGGGCAAUAAGUUAAUACCUUGCUGUUUUGACGUUACCAACAGAAUAAGCACCGGCUAACUUCGUG
rnacentral:rRNA from 1 species